UUCUGGCUCAGGAUGAACGCUGGCGGCGUGCCUAACACAUGCAAGUCGAACGGACCUAUCAUUUAACAGAGACUCGGUUGAAGUGGUUUAGGUAGUGGCGGACGGGUGAGUAACGCGUGGAGAACCCUGCCCUGUACUGGGGGAUAACAGUGAGAAAUCACUGCUAAUACCGCAUAAGCGCACGGAACCGCAUGGUUUUGUAGUGAAAAAACUCCGGUGGUACAGGAUGGCUCCGCGUUGGAUUAGCCAGUUGGCGGGGUAACGGCCCACCAAAGCUACGAUCCAUAGCCGGCCUGAGAGGGUGAACGGCCACAUUGGGACUGAGACACGGCCCAGACUCCUACGGGAGGCAGCAGUGGGGAAUAUUGCACAAUGGGGGGAACCCUGAAUGCAGCGACGCCGCGCGAAGGAAGAAGUAUCUCGGUAUGUAAACUUCUAUCAGCAGGGAAGAAAAUGACGGUACCUGACUAAGAACGCCCCGGCUAACUACGUGCCAGCCGCGGC
rnacentral:rRNA from 1 species